rnacentral:rRNA from 1 species
UACGUAGGGUGCAAGCGUUGUUCGGAUUUACUGGGCGUAAAGGGCGCGUAGGCGGCGUGACAAGUCACUUGUGAAAUCUCCGGGCUUAACUCGGAGCGGCCAAGUGAUACUGUCGUGCUAGAGUGCGGAAGGGGCUACUGGAAUUCUCGGUGUAGCGGUGAAAUGCGUAGAUAUCGAGAGGAACACCUGCGGCGAAGGCGGGUAGCUGGGCCGACACUGACGCUGAGGCGCGAAAGCUAGGGGAGCGAACGGG